rnacentral:rRNA from 1 species
CGGGAAACCGGAGCUAAUACCGAUAAUAUAUUGAACCGCAUGGUUCAAUAGUGAAAGACGGUUUUGCUGUCACUUAUAGAUGGAUCCGCGCUGCAUUAGCUAGUUGGUAAGGUAACGGCUUACCAAGGCAACGAUGCGUAGCCGACCUGAGAGGGUGAUCGGCCACACUGGAACUGAGACACGGUCCCAGACUCCUACGGGAGGCAGCAGCC